CCUACGGGAGGCAGCAGUGAGGAAUAUUGGUCAAUGGACGAGAGUCUGAACCAGCCAAGUAGCGUGAAGGAUGACUGCCCUAUGGGUUGUAAACUUCUUUUAUAUGGGAACAAAAUCUUCCACGUGUGGACUUUUGUAUGUACCUUAUGAAAAAGGAUCGGCUAACUCCGUGCCAGCAGCCGCGGUAAUACGGAGGAUCCGAGCGUUAUCCGGAUUUAUUGGGUUUAAAGGGAGCGUAGGUGGAAUGUUAAGUCAGGUGUGAAAUUUUGGGGCUCAACCGUAGAAUGGCAGUUGAAACUGGCAGUCUUGAGUACAGGAGAGGUGAGUGGAAUUCGUGGUGUAGCGGUGAAAUGCUUAGAUAUCACGAAGAACUCCGAUGGCGAAGGCAGCUCACUGGACUGCAACUGACGCUGAGGCUCGAAAGUGUGGGUAUCAAACAGGAUUAGAUACCCGAGUAGUC
rnacentral:rRNA from 1 species